rnacentral:rRNA from 1 species
UUAAGCAUAUCAAUAAGCGGAGGAAAAGAAACUAACAAGGAUUCCCCUAGUAACGGCGAGUGAAGCGGGAUGAGCUCAAAUUUAAAAUCUGGCAGUCUAAGAUUGUCCGAGUUGUAGUCUAGAGAAGCGUUUUCCGCGUAGGCCUGUGUACAAGUCCCUUGGAAUAGGGCGUCAUAGAGGGUGAGAAUCCCGUCCUUGACACAGAUCAUCUAUGCUCUGCGAUGCGCUCUCGAAGAGUCGAGUUGUUUGGGAAUGCAGCUCAAAAUGGGUGGUAAAUUCCAUCUAAAGCUAAAUAUUGGCGAGAGACCGAUAGCGAACAAGUACCGUGAGGGAAAGAUGAAAAGCACUUUGGAAAGAGAGUUAAACAGUACGUGAAAUUGUUGAAAGGGAAACGAUUGAAGUCAGUCAUGUGGUUUGAGGUUCAGCCGGUUCUGCCGGUGUAUUCCUCAGACUACAGGCCAGCAUCAGUUUCGACCGGUGGAAAAAGUUGGAGGGAACGUGGCAUCCUCGGAUGUGUUAUAGCCCUCUUUCACAUGCAUCGGACGGGACUGAGGAACGCAGCGUGCCUUUAUGGUCGGUCUUCGGACACGAUCGCGCUUAGGAUGCUGGCAUAAUGGCUUUAAACGACCCGUCU